AACUAACGCUGGCGGCGCGCCUAAUACAUGCAAGACGAACGGUAAGUUGAGUAGCAAUACUUAGCCAAGAGUGUCGUACGGGUGCGUAACACGUAUGCAACCUACCCUAUACAGGAGGAUAGCCUAGGGAAACCUGGAUUAACCCUUCAUAGUAUUAUUGGAUGGCAUCAUUUGAUAAUUAAAACUGAGGUGGUAUAGGAUGGGCAUGCGUCUGAUUAGUUAGUUGGCGGGGUAAUGGCCCACCAAGACGAUGAUCAGUAGGGGUUCUGAGAGGAAGAUCCCCCACACUGGCACUGAGAUACGGGCCAGACUCCUACGGGGAGGCCAGCAGUAGGGGAAUAUUGGUCAAUGGAUGCAAGUCUGAACCAGCCAUGCCG
rnacentral:rRNA from 1 species